rnacentral:lncRNA from 1 species
UGCCAUAUUGAUGUGUUCAUAUGAAUUGUGAUUAGAAAUAUUUUUGGGUUUUUUUUUUUCCCUUUUUGAAAGGGGAAUAUUCUUUGGUCUUAUUUGAAAGCUUUAUAAAUUUUAGUGGCUGAUUUUUGUUGGGGCAACCCUUUUUGAAAGGGGAAUAUUCUUUGGUCUUCCCUUUUUGAAAGGGGAAUAUUCUUUGGUCUUAUUUGAAAGCUUUAUAAAUUUUAGUGGCUGAUUUUUGUUGGGGCAAAUUGCUAGGUCUCAUCUUGGUUUUCAAAUAUGGAAGUUUGUCAGCCAAACAGCUAGAUUUUUUAUUUUUACUCUUUCAUUACACCCUUAGGAUCAAGCAUCUGUCAAAGUUUUUGAUCGUUCACUUUGUUGCUGAUUAUAAAUCAAUUACAAUUUGGAGGAAAGAUUAUCCUCCAAGUCCUUUGACA